rnacentral:rRNA from 1 species
CGCGUAGGCGGCUUAGUUAGUCAGGCGUGAAAUUCCUGGGCUCAACCUGGGGACUGCGCUUGAUACGGCUAGGCUAGAGGAUGGAAGAGGGUCGCGGAAUUCCCAGUGUAGAGGUGAAAUUCGUAGAUAUUGGGAAGAACACCGGUGGCGAAGGCGGCGACCUGGUCCAUUACUGACGCUGAGGCGCGACAGCGUGGGAGCAAACA